rnacentral:lncRNA from 1 species
GUGCUGGGAUUACAGGGGUGAGCCACUGCACCCGGCCACAUAAGCCACAUAAUUGUAUCUUGAUUCUGUUUAAGACUCAUUCUUCUCAUCAGAUUAAGUCCAGAAAAGCAUAUAAAUAGCACUUCUUUGGCCAUAUCUGAACAAUUGGUAAGGAUGGAAGCUACAGCUGGUCUCAGAGGUUCUAAGGGUCCUGAUUGAAAUUCUAUGACUGUCUUGCUCAUGGGGGAGAGGAAAGGGUUAGGUGUGAUGUCCUAGAAGUUAAUGGUUUUUUUUAAGUUAGCAAAAUAAACUGAAGCCAGUUAUCCACUGCUUAUGAAAUGUAAAUAGCAUAUUAAUAUACUAUGGCUGCAACUUGACAACACUAUUUUCUGUGCCAGACCUGCAAGGCGCAGCCUUAUGUGUGUGCAUCCAGUUUGAGGCUAGGACCUCCUAGGCCACUUCUUGCUUCUCUGGUAGGCUGGUUUUCAAGUUACUUCUCCUGCCUCCUUAAGUACAUCAGGCUGGGGAGAGGAGGUGAACUAAGAGUUCAUCAGUUUAGGAGGAGGGGGAAUUUAAUCAUAAGUUUGCCUUUUCUUCAGAUGAUUAAACAAUGAGUGUUUAUGAAAUCAAGAAAAAUGUUUUUCCCCCAGAGUUUUCUUUUCAAAGAUUUCUCUGUGCACUCUGGCUAAUUUAAAAAGAGCCCCAUAGGGUGCUUAUUUUUGCACACAUAUAUUGCCAGAGUAGUUCCUGUUUUGGUUUAAAUGUGUUCCUUCUUUUUAGUCAGAUGAAAGAGAACUUUCUUUAAAAAGAACUUGUCUGCUGAUCGUGUUUGUUAGAAUUAGCCUAAAUAAAGCUUCCGUUAAGAGCUUAACUGUUUAGUUAAAUCCUCUUGGCUAAAUUAUCUGGCGAAUAUUUGUCCUUGGACGAUGUAACCACAGUCCGCUCAUUACUCUCUUUCCAACCUGAAAUGUGUGUCUCUCCCUCUCCUGAGGAUACUAGGAAGUGAGUGUCUUGAGGAAGAAACUUUCCCUCUCAUUCAGUUAACUUAUUCCUUGUGCAGUUGGAUGUUGGGGUGUGGGUGUUUGAAAUAUGCUAGGCACCACAAGUGAGCACGAUUAAUUCUGCAUCAGGUAAGGGGCUAGGAGGGGACUGCCUAGGUUAAGCCAUAAAGAAAUGACAUCUUGAAGGCAUUAGAUAAGAGAGAAGAAUGUUUGAAAGGGAAAGGCCAUGGAAAGAAGUGGAAAUACUCUUCAAAAGUCUGUCGAGGUCAGCCUGCCAUGCAACUAUAAAAUUAAGCUUUCCUGAUAGAUAAUUUUUCUCAGGAGAAAAUUCUAGGAAGAUACAACUGCAAAAUAGAUAAGUAAAUAAAUAGUGAAUUAUUGAUACAUGAUAAACAUGGAUGAAUCUCAAAAACAUUGUGCUAAGCAAAAUAGGUCAGACACAAGAGACCACUUAUUAUAUGACUUUAUUUAUAUGAAAUUACCAGAAAAAGCAAAUCUAUAGAGACAGAAAAUAGACUAGCAGUUUCCUGGGGGCGAGGUGGGUGUGGAGGUGGGCGGCGGUGGGGGCAGGGGGCAAGGUGAAAUUGUAUCAGAGGUUAUGAAAAUGUUCUGAAACUGAUUAUAGUAAUGGUGCAUAACUCAGUAAAUUAAAAAUCCUUGAAUUGCACACUUGAAAUGGGAGGAUUUUAUAAUAUGUAAAAUAUAUCUCAAUAAAGCUCCUUAAAAAAAGGCAAGAACAUCAUCUGUUCAAAGGGACUAAGGAUAGAACUUUUUGAGUAUAAAGAUAGAAGUUCUCUUAACUAUUACAAUCUCCCAUCAUCUAAAUAGUGUACAGACAGCUUUGUUUCUACAAGGGAGAAAACCAAGAAAAGAACCAUUCCUUGAGUACUCUAAUGGUUUAUCUUUUACUACUGUUUCAUUUUUUAAAUCUACUUGUGAAAUAAGCAGUAGGGUCAGACAUUAAAAACAAACGACAACAAAAAAACACAUGGCAACCAUUCUUUGAGUUUGAUGAUCAGCAUUACAGUUAAAAUUCAAAUUGGCUUUCAGAAGAUAAUAUUUUCUACAUUUUGCUUGAUGAAAGGUUUAAAUAAAAACCAUGCAAAUAUGGAAUGUUUUUAACGCAUGCUUUAAUGCUAAUAAAAGGAUGCUUUGCUUUCAUAUUUUAGGGCCAAAGGGAAAACUUUCACUUUGCCCUCUGAAGGUUCACUGAAAAUUUGGCAACAGGUAGAACAGGAGACUAGGUAUGCAAACUUAUUAAUAUGCAUGGGGAGGAAAUCACAGAGUAAUUGCCCUAAUACCCAGUGUGGUACUGUUUCAGAAAAAAUUCUGAAACCAUGUUUUUUCUCUGCUCUUAAGCCAACACAAUAACAAUCAACACAGAAGACUUCUGUGACCCCAAAAUAUGUGGGAAUUUCUCUCCACCACCAACCAACCAAUCACUUCUGCAGUGAACACAAAAGGGUGUCCUCCAAUUCAAUUCCAGUACUAUCUACCUGGAGAUCAUGUCAGAUCCCACAUGUUGAGGGCUCAGACCCCAAAACUGCCCACCACCCCAAACACCAGUAGCAAGCUCAGGCCUCUGGAACUUCUUUUUCUUUCUUCCUUUUUUUUUUUUCUCUUCAUUAUCUAUGCAUCAAGAAGCAGGCCUCUGGAACUUCUUUUUCUUUCUUCCUUUUUUUUUUUCUCUUCAUUAUCUAUUCAUCAAGAAGCAGGCCUCUGGAACUUCUGGUCUACUGGCUUCAAGUUGGGAUUCCGAAGACCUCCUCUCUAGGCGGGUGAGGUAUACCCGCAUGGAAUUUCCAUUUCCUCGUUGGGCCCACCACCCUCCAGGAAACUCCGUAUGUUCAGCUAUCUGGAAGCUCUUUGAACCCUGUCCUUUUGGGUUUCUAUGGCGGCCUCAUUACAUAAGCAUGAUUGAUUAACCCAUUGGCCACUGGUGAGCAAGUGGACCUUCAGCCCCUUUCCUCUUGGUGGAAGUUGGAAGAUGAGACAAUUUAAGCACAUGACCGAGAGGCCAAGUUGGAGACCAGGUUUAGAAGAGAAAAACUUUCACUUGACUCCUAAUUUGUACUCAGUGACACAUUAACGACAAUGGUGGAACAGAAAUGGCUCCGCGGCGUUGGCAGCUCGUCUGCGAGGGGACCCUGGCUCCCCGAGGCUGCAGUCCUUUUUCUUGGACAGAACGCCCCGCAGGACCGUUCCCUCCACUUUCCCCCGCACUAAGGCAGCGCACCGCCAGCACACACAGCGCUGGCGCCCGCAUCGCGCCGCACCACACGCGUCUCCGGCUUGAGGAGCCAGUCACCGAGACCCGGAGCGGGAACGAGAUGUAAACACGGAGUGGGGACAUGCAGCCCGAUCUGAGAAGGCGGCGUGAAGAGUAGACACAGCCUGCGCCAGGCGGUUCUUAUUUACCCAGCACUUACACUCC